rnacentral:rRNA from 1 species
CCUUAACAUGCAAGUCGAACGGCAGCGCGGACUUUGGUCUGGUGGCGAGUGGCGAACGGGUGAGUAAUGUAUGGGAACGUGCCCAGUAGCGGGGGGUAACUACGCGAAAGCGGAGCUUAUACCGCAUACGCCCUACGGGGGAAAGCAGGGGAUCGGAAGACCUUGCACUAUUGGAGCGGCCGAUAUCGGAUUAGCUAGUUGGUGGGGUAACGGCUCACCAAGGCGACGAUCCGUAGCUGGUUUGAGAGGACGACCAGCCACACUGGGACUGAAACACGGCCCAGACUCCUACGGGAGGCAGCAGUGGGGAAUUUUGGACAAUGGGGGAAACCCUGAUCCAGCCAUCCCGCGUGUGCGAUGAAGGCCUUCGGGUUGUAAAGCACUUUUGGCAGGAAAGAAACGUCGCGGGUUAAUACCCCGCGAAACUGACGGUACCUGCAGAAUAAGCACCGGCUAACUA